AGAGUUUGAUCCUGGCUCAGAGCGAACGCUGGCGGCAGGCUUAACACAUGCAAGUCGAACGGAUCCUUCGGGAUCAGUGGCAGACGGGUGAGUAACACGUGGGAACGUGCCUUUGGUUCGGAACAACUCAGGGAAACUUGAGCUAAUACCGGAUGUGCCCUUCGGGGGAAAGAUUUAUCGCCAUUAGAGCGGCCCGCGUCUGAUUAGCUAGUUGGUGAGGUAAAGGCUCACCGAGGCUACGAUCAGUAGCUGGUCUGAGAGGAUGAUCAGCCACACUGGGACUGAGACACGGCCCAGACUCCUACGGGAGGCAGCAGUGGGGAAUCUUGCGCAAUGGGCGAAAGCCUGACGCAGCCAUGCCGCGUGAAUGAUGAAGGUCUUAGGAUUGUAAAAUUCUUUCAGUGGGGACGAUAAUGACGGUACCCACAGAAGAAGCCCCGGCUAACUUCGUG
rnacentral:rRNA from 1 species